GUACUUGCUUCAGUAGCACAUGUUCUAAAAUUGGAAUAAUACACAGAAGAUUAGCAUGGCCCCUGCACAAGAUGAUAUACAAAUUCAUGAAGUGCUUCAUACUUUU